CACAAACCAACCACCUUAAACUAAUUGAACAAGAGGCAACAAAUAUGUUAGAGUUCAACCUUUUUUUGAAACCUCUUUUUUUCUUGAAAAUAUCACCGAACCCAAGAAGGGCGCCUACGUAUCUCGCCCCCGAGAGGGGAGAAUUAGGUGUGCGUAGUUCGUGAAGUCGUGCCAAAAUGGCCAAUUGAACUCUUUGUUUUCUUUCUUUUUUUUCUUUUUCUCGAAACUUUAAGAAGAAA
rnacentral:lncRNA from 1 species